UGAGCAAAGUUGGAGGUUAAUAUACUGGAAAACACAUUACAACCUUAGAUUUUUUGCUAUAGAAACAAAAGCUCAGAAAAAGUUUACCAUUAUUGUUUGUAGAACCUGUUGAACCUGAUACCUUAAUCCUAGCACUACCUGUGGAUUCUUUGCCUGAAGGCGUUAAUGAUGUCCCUGCCUUCAAUAGACUCGGUGUGCAUUGAAGCCAUGGAAUAGUGACACAUUCCAUGAGCUCUCAAUCAAAAGCCCUGUCUAAUCUUUGGCUGGAAGGUCGACUUCGGGAGCAGCUUCAGUUCUGAGUUACCAAGGUGACUAGGGGCCAUAGUCUUGGGGGUUCCUCCAGUCACUGUCAGAAUAUGUUUCAGUUCUACAUUUGCUGUCUACUUCACACAAAGUAGUUUUGUAUAUUUAGUGUUACUCUUGGCUACCCUAUCGAUGCUGUUGUUAUUCACUUCGCCCAAGAGAAGAUUUCAUAUUAUUGGGAUAAAACUGAUCGCAUGGAAAUUUCAUUUAAGCCCAUCUUAAUGUAUGGUCUAUGCCAAGAAGAGGAGAGUUUAUUACUUGCCUUUGGGGCUUUUGAUUCAUCUUCUUGCGUGAGCAGCAUGAGAACCUGCCCUGUGUUUGAGAGGAAGCUCCUUGGACUGGAACACAUGUGGUUGGCAGGGCCUGGUGUGAACAUGGCCUGCUUCAAAGGAGUUGGGCUUGUGAGUUGAGGGAAAGAAGCCAAUAGAAGAUAAAUCUAGAAAAAAUAGCUGGCACUGCUUUGAGUGAUUCAGCCUUGAAUUCUUCCUAUGAAGGAAGAGAGGGCAGAAGAGGAUGGUCUCAGACAUCGCAACAUCAUCACUGUUGAAGGCUAUUGGGAAGUUUCUGCUUCAUACAAGGUAUUUGAAGAGGAUAUCAAGGAGCACAGGCCUUGAAAACCUUCUCCACUCUUUGCUCCUUAAACUCUGGGAAGGACAGUUCAGAAAAUCAGUGUCUGCAUCAUCACACUGGGAAAGUUAAACACCACCCUCUUCUGUCACAGCCCCAAGGCCUCUAAACAACUCACUGGAAACUAUUUUAAGCUCACUACUUCUUUCCCAGAGUCCUAAAAUAUUCCAUCACGUUGUUUAUAAGGUAUUUGUUUGUUUUCUCAACAUUUUCUGUUUUAACUUCCAAUUGUUAACAGUGCGCAACAGUGUGCUUCUUUUCUUUUCUUUUUUUAUUUUAUUUAUUUAUUUACUGUCAUCCUGAAAAUGUGAUUUUCAUCUAUUUUAUACAGAGGUGCAUUUUCUUAAUUCAUAAUGUGUGCAUUGUAGACACUCUGACACAAACCUCAAUGCAUAUGCGUCAAUCUAUCCUAGCAUUUCCCAGAGGCAGAGAACUUCCUGGUUCAAACAUAUACAGGACUGGAGGUGCUCACUUGUCCAUGACAGGAAAUUUGGAAAGCAGCUGCCUAGCCAAUGGACUGGAAGAGAUCCAGAUUUUUGCCCAUUGUAAAGAAAGGUGAUCUAACCGAAUGCAGAAAUUAUCAAACAAUGUCAUUAAUAUCACACAUAAGUCAAAUUUUGCAGAUGAUAUUCAAAAGCAUUUGCAUAUUGCAUAACACAUCAACAGGGAACUGCCAAAAAUUCAAGCCGGAUUCAGAAGAGAAUGUAGAACAAGAGUUAACAUUACUAAUGUCAAAUGGAUCUUGGUGAAAGGAAAGAAUACCAGAAAGAUGUUUACCUAUGUCUUAUUGAUUAUGCAAAGGCAUUCGAAUAUGUGGAUCAUAACAAAUUAUGGGUAACAUUUCGAAGAGCAGGAAUUCCUGAACACUUAAUUGUGCUCAUGAGGAAUCUGUACAUAGACCAAGAGGCAGUCAUUCAAACAGAACAAGGGGAUACUGUGUGGUUUAAAGUCAGGAAAUGCGUGUGUCAGGGUUGUAUCCUUUCAACAUACUUACACAAUCUGUAUAUUGAGCAAAUAAUCUGAGAAGCUGGACUAUAUGAAGAAUGACAGGGCAUCAGGAUUGGAGGAAGACUCAUUAACAAUCUACAAAAUGCAGAUGAUACAACCUUGCUUACUGCAAACAAAGAGGACUUGAAGCCCUUACUGAAGAAGAUCAAAGACCACAGCCGUCGGUAUGGAUUACACCUCAACAUAAAGAAAACAAAAAUUCUCACAACUGGACUAAUAAGCAACAUCAUGAUAAAUGGAGAAAAUAUUAAAGUUGUCAAGGAUUUCAUUUUACUUGGAUCCAUAAUCAACGCCCAUGGAAACAGCAGUCAAGAAGUCAAAAGAUGUAUUGCAUUGGGCAAAUCUGCUCCAAAAGAUCUCUUUAAAGUGUUAAAAAGCAAAGAUGUCACUUUGAGGACUAAGGCGCUCCUGACCCAAGCCAUGGUAUUUCCAAUCACCUCAUAUGCAUGUGAAAACUGGACAAUGAGUAAGGAAGACUGAAGAAGAAAGGAGAAUUGAUGCAUCUGAAUGAUGGUAUUGGUGAAGAACAUUGAAUAUAUCAUGGAUGAUCAGACAAAUGUAGCCCUGGUGGCCCAGUGUUUAAGCAUUCAGCUACUAACCAAAAAGUCAGCAGUUCAAAACCAAAAGCUGCUCCUUGGAAACCCUAUGAGGCAGUUCUACUCUGCUGUAUAGGGUCACUAUGAGUGGCAAUCAACUCCAUGGCAACGGGUUUCACCAGAAGAAUGAACACACCUGUCUUGGACGAAGUCUAACCAGAAAGUUCUAUAGAGGCAAGGAUGGCAAGACUUUAUCUCACAUACUUUGGACAUGUUGUUAGAAGGGGCCAGUCACUGGAGAAGGACAUCAUGCUUGGUAAAGCAGAGGGUGAGAAAAAAAGAGGAAGACCCUCAACAAGAUGGAUUGACACAGUAGCUGCAAUGAUGGCUUGAAGCAUAGCAAGGAUUGUAAGGAUAGUGCAGGACCAGACAGUGUUUCGUUCUAUUGUUCAUAGGGUCACUAUGAGUAGGAACUGAGUUGAAGGCAUCUAACAAGAACAACAAUCUUUAUGGAGGACUGCCACAUCUUUCUUACCCGGAGUGACUGGUGGGUUUGAACUGCCAACUUUUUCAGUUAAGAGCCGAGCCCUUUAACCACUGUGCCACCAUGGCACCUGAAAAAGUGCUAGGUUCCCCCAAAUCUGAAUUUGCCUCUGUUAGUAAGACUUGAAUGACAAAUGAAAUUUAAUUUAAAUCUUUGCAAGAACAAAAUUAUUUCUUUCAAAGCAGCCAUCCCUGGUAUUGUGAAUUUCUUUUGGCAAGAAUAUUGGAGAUAGACUUUGGGUUUUUUUUUUUAAGAAUUUUAUAGUACCAUUAAUAAUGCAAAUUUUAAAAUAAGUCCUAAUAUAAAAAGUAUCAGAAAAAUAAUUGACUUAUUUAUUUAUUUUUUUUUGCAUCCUCAGGUUGCCUGAGUAUAAAAUUUAAAAAGAGUUAAGUGCUUAAAUCAAAGUGUAAAGCAGAGGAUUCAGAUCGUUUGGUUGUAAGAAAACUAAAUUUGCUACCAGGAAGUGGGGUGAUAAUCAAGUUAUUAUAAGAACACAAUAGGCAAAUAAAGGCAUCCAAAAACAAGAACUAAAGUACUGGCAGGCCACAGGACAACUGGAACUGGAACUCCAAAAGCCUAGGGACACAGUGGAAAGAAUUACUGAGAAACUAAGGAUGAACGAAGAAGGUUUAGGACUCUCUGACCUACCUCGUUUAAUCUUCAUAUCAACCAAUGGAGAAUAUUUCCACCAAGAUCAAGAGCUAAAAGAAAAUUAAUUGGGCGAACAUAUAUUAAGUAUCAACUGUGUUUAAUAAGACACAAUUCUUUACAUAGACUCUUUUAUGACCUGGAAGGGAGAAUAACAAGUACAAACGACCAUGUUGCACAAGAGUUCCAAAGAAGCCACACAGACCAGAAGUGCAAACGAUUGAUGAUGGGAAAAACAUUAGAAAAAUCUCCCUCUUCAUUAUCAUCCUCAUGAAUUUCUUCUUCUAGCUCCCUCUUGCCCUGCUAACAUGUUGUUAUUAUCCUCUUGCAACCUCUUUCCUGGGAAAAAGAAGACUUGUAGCUUUAUCUUUCUAUGUAGAUUCUUUGAGGAAAAUUCUCUGCAUGUUCACGAGGGUGGUUUACAAUAAAAAUCUUUGAGAGGCCUAAGCACAUUUUUCAUUGAAAACAAACUUUUUUCCCCCCCACAGAAACCUGUCUCAUCAGAUAACCCUAAACAUUAUAGAGCUUGCACACACAAAUUGUAGUUGACCACAGGAUGUGAAUGGGGCAUAGGAUUAAAUAAUUGGAGUUCACCAUGGUGAUAGUAACAGUUUAUUUUUACAGAAACAAAAUAAAAAUGCUACUCAUUUCUCCUUCUUAGAAUUCACUCACAGGAUAAGUGCCUUUUGGGUAUGCACAGAUGCUCUGAGUCAUGUCACCGUCUUCAGUCCUGGGAAAUUGCCCUCUUUUGUUUGUCUGUAUGCCCCCUCCUUCAACCAAACCUGAUGUAGACUAGCAGAGAAAAGCCUCAGUGUAAAAUGCUGUGAAGUCACCUUAAAUUGUUGCUUUCAGACCCACUGUAUGGGGAUCUUUUAUGCAAAGAUAGAACACUUCAUGAAUUCAAGAUAAUCAUAAUUUAGAUAGAGAUACCCAAAUGCCAUUUUUCUAUCAGGUUCCUGCAGUGGGUUUUAUGUUUCAAAAUCCCAACUCUAGACUUAUAAGAUUGGCUUGAGACCUGGAGACCAAGAUUCCAAGAUGAUCAUACUAUCUCAUCAAAACAGACUGAGAAUAAUUUCAUAACUGACUCUGAUCUUG